rnacentral:rRNA from 1 species
UACGUAGGGGGCUAGCGUUGUCCGGAAUCAUUGGGCGUAAAGAGCGUGUAGGCGGCCCGGUAAGUCCGCUGUGAAAGUCGGGGGCUCAACCCUCGAAAGCCGGUGGAUACUGUCGGGCUAGAGUGCGGAAGAGGCGAGUGGAAUUCCUGGUGUAGCGGUGGAAUGCGCAGAUAUCAGGAGGAACACCAAUAGCGAAGGCAGCUCGCUGGGACGGUAUUGACGCUAAGGCGCGAAAGCGUGGGGAGCAAACAGG